rnacentral:rRNA from 1 species
GAUGAACGCUGACAGAAUGCUUAACACAUGCAAGUCUUUGGCGAAGCUGUGCUUGCACAGCCUAGCCAAGGCGGACGGGUGAGUAACGCGUAAGGAACUUGCCCUGCAGUCAGGGAUAACAGACGGAAACGACUGAUAAGACCUGGUAAAGUCAGGCGGACUCAUGUCCAGCCUGAUGAAAAGAGGUGCUGCAGGAGAGCCUUGCGUCCUAUUAGCUUGUUGGUGGGGUAACGGCCCACCAAGGCGAUGAUAGGUAGCCGGCCUGAGAGGGUGGACGGCCACAAGGGGACUGAGAUACGGCCCUUACUCCUACGGGAGGCAGCAGUGGGGAAUAUUGGACAAUGGGGGCAACCCUGAUCCAGCAAUUCUGUGUGCACGAUGAAGGUUUUCGGAUUGUAAAGUGCUUUCAGCAGGGAAGAAAAAAAUGACGGUACCUGCAGAAGAAGCGACGGCUAAAUACGUG